UCCCUGGUGGUCCAGUGGGUAAGACUCUGCGUUUGCAAUGCAGGGGUCCUGGGUUCAAUCCCUGGCUGGGGAG